CCAGGGGCUUGCUGUCUUAACCCUAAUCCCUGUCACGGCUGCUUCAUGGCACCAGUAGCUCCUCCCUAUCCCGAGCUCAUUUGAGCCUCACCACUAUAAUUAAAAGACGCUUACUCCUUGAAAGGAAAGUUAUGAUCAACCUAGACAGCAUUACUAAAAAGCAGAGACAUUACUUUGCCAACAAAGGUCUGUCUAGUCAAGGCUAUGGUUUUUCCAGUGGUCAUGUAUGGAUGGGAGAGUUGGACUAUAAAGAAAGCUGAGCACUGAAAAAUCAAUGCUUUUGAACUGUGGUGUUGGAGAAGACUCUUGAGAGUCUCUUGGACUGCAAGGAGAUCCAACCAGUCCAUCCUAAAGGAAAUCAGUCCUGGGUGUUCAUUGGAAGGACUGAUGUUGAAGCUGAAACUCCAAUACUUAGGCCACCUGAUGCGAAGAGCUGACUCAUUGGAAAAGACCCUGAUGCUGGGAAAGAUUGAGGGCAGGAGGAGAAGGGGAUGACAGAGGAUGAGAUGGUUGGAUGGCAUCACCAACUCAAUGGACAUGGGUUUGAGUGGACUCUGGGAGUUGGUGAUGGACAGAGAGGCCUGGCGUGCUGCGGUUCAUGGGGUCGCAAAGAGUCGGACACGACUGAGCGACUGAACUGAACUAUGAGAGGGUGUCCUACUAUUGGACUGAGUUUAUGGAUGAGAAACUGAGGCCCAGAAGGGCAAGUCAUUAGGCUCACUGUUGCUGCUGUUUAGUCACUAAGUUGUGUCUGACUCUUUUGCGUCCCCAAGGACUGUAGCCCCCCAAGCUCCUCUGUCCAUGGGAUUCUCCAGGCAAGCAUACUGGAAUGGGUUACCAUUCCCUUCUCCAAGGGAUCUUCCCCACCCAGGGAUCGAACCUGCAUUUCCUCCAUUGGCAAUCGGAUUCUUUACCUCUGAGUCACCUGGGAAGUCCAUUAACCUCAGGCACUCAGCUGGAGUGCCUGGAUCCAGAGGCAGUACAACCAGCCUUCGCCAGUCAGAGCUCUUGUUCUUGCUAAGCCCACCACAUCCCAUCCGUCUAGGAGGAAAAGCCCACACCCUCCCCACCAGGUCCUGCCCUGUCUCCUCCCAGCCGGCCCCCCUCCCGCUCCCCUCUCCCUCACUCUGCUCCCGCCACAUGGGCCUCAUUACUGUUCCUCCCACACUAGGCAUGGCCCUGCCUCAGGGCCUUUGCACUGCAUGUUCCCUCUGCCUGGAACGCUCUUCCCCCCAUCAUCACUCACCUGGACCAGCGCAGUUGCCUCCACCCUCAGGUCCUGGCUCCCAAACUCAGCCCCCACAGUCGGGCCUCCAGAAGCAGCCACGAGAGGGCGCCUGUGAGCACCUGAGUCAGGCCUCGCCCCUCCUCUGCGCACAGCCCUCCAGGGUCCCGCCUCCCUCAGUGUAAAAGCCCAAGUUCUCCCCUCCGCCCCGGCUUCUACACGACCUCCCCAAAGGGCAAUGAGAUCCGCGGACCGCUGUGGCCUUCCGAAGUGGCCUGGCCGAGCCAGGCUUUGCAAACCAGCUCCAUCUGGCUCCAUGCCUUCUGGGCUUCUCCCCCUUGGCCAGCCGCCUCCCAACCUCUAAUAAACUCCGAGAAGUGCUGGGUAGCCGCGACAGUGAGGACACUCUUUAUCUGUCCAGAUCAGGCCGGCUCGGUGCAGCAGUCAAUAAUUAAUUCUGAAUUUCCCCCAUUUAUCAAAGUGGCAGGAGCCAGAGUGCGUGGAAUCCCAAUCCCCAGGCUCUGUGCCCUGCAGCCACCUGGAGCUAGACCCAGUGGUGGCAGAAACCAGGGCGGGGGACCCUUAUGGAGCCUGAGAAGGGAGGGUGUCCUUGGCUCCCACUCCCUUACUCUGGGUUAUUAAAUGCUGCACAAUCCAGCAGUGACCAGACCAGACCUCAUCCCAGCCUUCUUGGUGCCCAGAGGCUAGUGGGGAAAAUAACACAUUGAAUGAAUAAUAAUAUAAAUAAUUAAUGCUACAAAGGAAGAGAACAGGAUACUUUGUGAAUGCAAAACCAAGGGGACGUGGUUGUUCAGAGCUUCCCCAAGGAAGUGAUAUUGAACCCGCAAAGCGGAGAGUGAAAGGGGAGAGGUGGGAGAGGGUCUUCCAAAUACAGAAACAGCACAUGCAAAGGUCCUGUGGCCAGAAAGAGUUUCUCCCACUCAGAGGUCAGCAAGGUGGUUAAGUGGGACUGGAGCCCACAGCACAAGCGUGAGGUCAGUGCCAGAAAGAGUUUCUCCCACUCAGAGGUCAGCAAGGUGGUUAAGUGGGACUGGAGCCCACAGCACAAGCGUGAGGUCAGUGCCAGGUCUGGAGCCAUCACGGUGAGGCCAACAGCAGCCAGGGGCCAUCAGGGGAAGAGGUGGGAAGUUUCUCAGAUGUUCCAGGGGAUGGCAGUGAGGCUGCUUCCACCCCAGGUGAGUCAGACAGCAGCCUGGGCAGGUGACUGUGACUUUUUGUUUUCUUUUUUCUUAGAACUGUUUUUCCGUUAGAGGAUUCUUUCAAACCCUUUUUGGCUUGGGGAUGAGUCAGGAUCUCUCUGCCUACAGAUAGCCCAGACCGUGCAAGCAGUCUGGCCCAGCCACCUUAAACACCUCCCUCCCUCCUUGGGCAGGUUUGGAGACUGAGGCCCACAGAGGAACAAGGACCACCCAAGGUCAUUCAGAAGAGGGCUGGGGGGAAGCUCAGAGGAGGGGUUUCCAGGGUCCCAGGAGCACCGCCCUGUGGCUUCUGUCUCCUCUGCUGGAUCUAUAACUCCAAGACGGCCAACAGCUGGGUGUCCCGGUCACCAUGCUGUCCUCAGUGCCUGCAAACAGGAGGUGCUUCAUCCACAAUUACAGAAUGGGCAGUCCCAGCAGCUUUUGGAAACACCCCAGAGGUUGCGCUCAGAGGAUCGGCAGGAAAGGGUAUCCUUUCUGAGAGUGGAUACGAGAGACAGAUACAGGAAUAUGGAGAGAGAAAGAGACAGAGAAACUGCCAGAGACAUGGAGAGAGAGAGAGACAGCAAUGGAGACAGAUAGACUUGGAAUGAGACAGUGGAGAAGCAGAGAUCAAGAGACACAGAGAAAGAAGUGAUAAAUGGGAGGCAGAUACGUGCAGAAGAGACUGAGUGGAUGGACACACAGGUUGGGGGCAGGCAGGGAGGCAGCAGGGUCAGGACCACCACUCAGUGGUAUAGGACACUGUGUGAAUUUCAAAAAGAUUCCCCUUCCUGAGACCCUCUGACCCCAGCUGGAUGUUUUUGUGCAGUGAACAGCCUGCCCCGCCAUCUAAGGCAGCCAAAGCAAGCUCUGUGUUGGUAUCUCCAGCAGCCAGCACCAGACCAGGCACACAGAGCACGCUCAACAUAUGCCCGUUGAAGUAAUGGACAAAGUUAGAUAAUGCCAGAAUCCAGUCUGGAGUCCCAGAGAGAGAAGGGAAGGGAGGAAGGCAGAGCAAAACCGAAGUGGGAAGUCCGGGCACCUGAAGUUUCUGGCUGAGCCACAGAUGCCUCCUCUGGGAACCACCUGGGUUUACCUGCCACCCAGGAAAAUUCCCCUCCAACUUCUGAGAGCACAAAGUGAGUGGGCAGCCAAGGCGGGAGGUGGCCCCUCCCCGGGACGCCGCGGGCCCCAGCGAGAGAUGGUAACUGCCAAGUCUCACCCGAAACUCCUCACAGCCCAGACUUGCUUCUGGGGUGGAGCCAGGAACCUGAGAGGCCCUGAGGCGGGGACCAGGCGUCCCCUAUUUUCACAGCCCAGAGAUGGGAGGGGGCUGGCUUGGGGUCACCCAGAAUAGGAGUCAAGGGAAAAGCAUUCCUGGAGAUGAGUAAAGAGGGAAGAGGAAAGGACGUGCUUAGGGCUGAACUGUCAAUGGAAGGUGAAGCUCAAGGCCAAGUUAGGGAGAUUGAACUUGGCCGUGUGUCCAAACACUUAAUCUGUUAUUCUAUACACACUCAAUUCGGUCCCUCUGUACCUAGUUCCAGCCUGAGUGAUCCUGGGUGACUUAGAGGGGACUCCUAAGACUGGGAGGACAAACAGACCUCCCUGUUCUGUGGGUCAGGAGUGAGCCAGGCGGGCUGGAGGCUUAGGACCCAGAGGCCAACUGGGAGAGGGCUGCUGAACCCGAUGGAGAUUGGGAGUUAGUGCCAGGACCUUGAAAAUGUAGGACUACGUCAGGUGAAAAAGACCCGAAAGCACUUCCUGGGCAGAAAAUACAAGUCUGGAGGUGUGUAUAAAUCAGACAAGUGUUCGACUUCCCUGGUGGUACAGUGGAUAAGAAUCCACCUGGCAAUGCAGGCGAUAUGGGUUCGAUCCCUGGGCCAGGAAGAUUCCACAUGCUGCAGAGCAACUAAGCCAAUGUGCCACAGCUACUGAAACGUGUGUGCCUAGAGCCUGUGCUCCACAGCGAGAGAAGCCACUGCAGUAAGAAGCCUGUGAACCGCAACAAAGAGUGGUGUCCAUUCACCACAACUGGAGAAAGCCUGAGCACAGCCAUUAAGACCCAGUGCAACCAAAAACAAAAAAUAAUCAUCAGAAAAGUGCUGGGAACAAUCCAGAGUGUACAAUAAUGCUGCUGUACGCAAAAGGGUCAGGUUGGACCAGAGAGAAAGAUCAGACCUCAGACGGAUCAGAAACGGCUGCAUGAUGAAGG
ensembl:lncRNA